rnacentral:rRNA from 1 species
AUACGCAUCCUUUGCUGAGGAGACGGUUAACGGAGCGAAAGCGACGUUCAACCUCAAAAGAAGCAGAGGGGGCUUAGUGGUGGGGUGACUGCGUACCUUUUGUAUAAUGGGUCAGCGACUUAUAUUCUGUAGCAAGGUUAACUGUAUAGGGGAGCCGGAGGGAAACCGAGUCUUAACCGGGCGUUAAGUUGCAGGGUAUAGACCCGAAACCCGGUGAUCUAGCCAUGGGCAGGUUGAAGGUUGGGUAACACUAACUGGAGGACCGAACCGACUAAUGUUGAAAAAUUAGCGGAUGACCUGUGGCUGGGGGUGAAAGGCCAAUCAAACCGGGAGAUAGCUGGUUCUCCCCGAAAGCUAUUUAGGUAGCGCCUCGUGAAUUCAUCUCCGGGGGUAGAGCACUGUUUCGGCUAGGGGGCCAUCCCGGCUUACCAACCCGAUGCAAACUGCGAAUACCGGAGAAUGUUAUCACGGGAGACACACGGCGGGUGCUAAUGUCCGUCGUGAAGAGGGAAACAACCCAGACCGCCAGCUAAGGUCCCAAAGUCAUGGUUAAGUGGGAAACGAUGUGGGAAGGCCCAGACAGCCAGGAUGUUGGCUUAGAAGCAGCCAUCAUUUAAAGAAAGCGUAAUAGCUCACUGGUCGAGUCGGCCUGCGCGGAAGAUGUAACGGGGCUAAACCAUGCACCGAAGCUGCGGCAGCGACACCGUGUGUUGUUGGGUAGGGGAGCGUUCUGUAAGCCUGUGAAGGUGUGCUGUGAGGCAUGCUGGAGGUAUCAGAAGUGCGAAUGCUGACAUAAGUAACGAUAAAGCGGGUGAAAAGCCCGCUCGCCGGAAGACCAAGGGUUCCUGUCCAACGUUAAU